rnacentral:rRNA from 1 species
UACGAAGGGGGCUAGGCGUUGCUCGGAAUUACUGGGCGUAAAGGGCGCGUAGGCGGACAGUUAAGUUGGGGGUGAAAGCCCGGGGCUCAACCUCGGAAUUGCCUUCAAUACUGGCUGUCUUGAGUGUGAGAGAGGUGUGUGGAACUCCGAGUGUAGAGGUGAAAUUCGAUAGAUAUUCGCAAGAACACCAGUGGCGAAGGCGGCUCACUGGCCCGGUACUGACGCUGAGGUGCGAAAGCGUGGGGAGCAAACAGGG